GGGCCCGUAGCUCAGCGGUCAGAGCAGCGGACUCAUAAUCCGACGGUCGUAGGUUCGAAUCCUACCGGGCCCAC
rnacentral:tRNA from 1 species